AUGGAAGUGAUGAUUUUUUCCCCAGAUGAUCGACGAUGAUUAUAAUGUGCGAUUGUUCUCUUUUCGAGAAUCCAAGCCAGUGUUCUGAUCCAU